rnacentral:lncRNA from 1 species
CAACCCCCAACCCAUUUCUCUUUCUCCCACCCAACCCCAUCCUCAUCCCCAUCCCCCAUUACCACCAACACCACAACCACUGUAAGCUUUCACCCAUCCAAAUUGCCACUGUCCUGCCACCCACACAACCAUCAAUCAAAGAGAUAGAGGGGGGAGAGAGAUCCAAACAACCAACACCAACAACUUUCCCCCACCAAAAACCAUCGUCCGUCCCUAUACCACCAAAUAGCCGCCACAAGCAUAAAGAGUGUGUGCGUGUGUGUGUGUGUGUGCGCGUGUUUGUGUGUGUGUGCGUGUGUGUGUGUGUGAGAGAGAGAGAGAGAUGCAAGGGUCCUGACGUGCAGUGUUAAUUUGCUAUUUUUGCGGCAAUUGUGCGGCUAGUUUUCACCAUAAUGAAGGUGUGAGAUUUCAUGGUGGCAAUGACUCUCAUUGUGUAAUUCGAAUGCCUAUUGAGUUGUGUGAUUCCGACGAUGAUUAAGUUUCCAAAGACGAACCAUUUCUCACUAAUACGAACAUCCACGACGUCGGCAUCGCAGCCAUUACUAUCGAAUAUCGAUACCGACAUUGUUUGUGAGUCAAUGUCGAUGAUAACGUCGGUAAUCUCCAUGGUUAUGAUCAUCCCCUUCUCUCUCUUUCUUUAUUUUCUGUGUGUAUAUACUAGUGGUGGUGAUACGGUUGGGGAAGGAGGGUUUGGUCUAGUUUAAGGUUAAGGGAAAGGAGAUGGGGUCUGGGUUGGGUUUUGGGGUUCGUUUAGGUUUGGAUUUUGGAUAUUGGAUAUUGGGUUUUGGGUGUGGAUAUUGGAUUUUAGGUUAGUGUGAGUUUGUCUUUGGAUACCACAUGUGUUUGGACAGAGUUUAGAAAUUGGCGUUAAUUGAAAAAAAAAUUAAUAAGUUAAGUGUUAAUGUGAUAAAAUUCUUUGUUAGAGAUAAAAGUGGGAAUGGUUCAAUAUUUUAAGGGGGUAAAAUGUAGUUAACCCUACAAGAAAUGAAAAAAGUACAAAUAUCGCAUAAAUAUAUGGUACGUGACGAUUUGGAUGUACUAGUUCUUUUGGACCAAUCUAUACUAAAAAAACAUAAUUUUAUUUUGAAUCUCAAAAUUAUAUUUCAUUAUCUAUUGUUGAAAUCAAUUUGAGUUAAUUCAAUGAUUGAGAUUUCACUUGAGAUUAUUUUUUUUUCUAUAAAAAAUAUCACUUCUUUCUUCUCAAAGGUGUGAGACCCGAUUCUUAUCCAAUGGACAAAAAAUAUCUAAAUCUCGGUAUAUUUUUUACUCAUUGGAUCAUUUUUUAGUAGAAUCCACACAAAAUAAAAUUAAAACACCUCUUUCUUUCUCCCUCAUUUCUCCCAAACUAGCAAUUUUUUUAAAAAUCAUUGUAAUUUUUAAUUUGUUCUCCAUUUUGUAACAAUGUAUCUUUUAUCUAACGUUUAUAUCUUAUCUGUUUUUUAAAUUGUAAAACUCUAAUGACUAUGCCUAAGAGGUGUUUUUUUUUUAUGUAGUGCCCGUGGGUACCGGCAAUUACUAGUCAAUCAUAUGAUGCAAUGUGUCAAAUCAUUUAUUCAAGGUAAACUAUGUCAAUGGGUCUCUAGAGUACUCAUACAGUUCCUCAUAUACUAAUUUUCUCAAUUUUAUUCUUAAUGUAUUUAGAAAUCAUCAUCAUGAUCCCAGUGAUGUUUUGAUAGAAAGACCAGGCCCCGGCGAGAAGGCUUCCCUAGUGCAAGGAGACGGGGAUCGCAUCUCGGUCCACACGUGGCUAAUCCACCAGGUUGGACUUCGAUUUUCAAUUAGUCCAAUGCUAAAGGAAGUUAUGGUGCGCUACCGACUUACCUUUAUGCAAGUGUUAGUUAACUUCAUCCGUACUGUGCCUUGUGGUUGACACACUAAUGCGGAGGGAAGAGUUGUAGUUCGGUCGCUACGACUUACUACAUGUUUACUCUGUAGUACGCCCGAAGAAGGAGCCCGGUACCAACUUAUACACAUGCAAUCAUUACCUUCGACUUCGGAACAAUCAACAGCCUUGGAUAAGGUUGUCACUAAGAUCCCAUACAAAGACUUGUACCUUGACGAAUUUGUUUGGGUCUCAGGCAAUAAGGAGUUCCGAAGCAGGAGUGACGGUGUGUAGUCCUUCCCUAAGCACAAUGGUAGCAUACGUGACAGUAAGUCUUCCUUUGUACCUCGGUUGUCUUGAUUUCCUUACUACACUUGUACAAAUCGAUUCAAAUACAUUGCUGAUAUUUAACUAUUGCAUCUCGGUUGACUUGUCUCAGGAUUUGUUUCAAAGAGGACAGAGUGGUGCAACAAGGCUAUCAAGCACAUAAACAAUAGUGAGGCACCCUGAGACGUAAAAAUGCUUUUGUAGUACAAACCAAUCUACCGACAUAUCAUUCCCCACUGUGCGGAGCAGCUUAGUCGGGUUAGACUUCCACCACUCCUAAUACCGGAGCCUAUCCCACGACGCCAGCUAUCUAGCUCGAAAGACAUCAAUACAUAGUUUGACAUAGCGGCUGCCGAGCUUGCCCAAGUGCUAGAUGAAGCCGAGGAUACAAGCACUAGUUCCACCAGCAGCUCCAGCUAGCUUGAACUUUCGGGCAAUGAGCUCACCUCUGCCAUUACCGCGCUAGAGGGUGAAGGAGAACAAGGGGAAGGACCAAUAAUCCCUGAGGUUAACUUGGUCGCGGCUGUUCCAAUUUUGGUGGUUAGCUCGGACGAAGAUCCUGAGGUCCUACCCGCCUUUGGAUAUGAAGUUGAACAUUCCUUUAUUGGCGACGAAGAAGUUGACUCCAAUUCCGAGGUAGAGAUGCCUUCCAAGCUUGUGCCUCUCCCAAGUGGAACUGCAUUAUAAGGGGGAUGAUCCUUUACUUUUUAAAUCUUGUAAAUAUCUCGGUACUAAGGUAGCUCGUAGACCAAGUCGUGAACAUGCCUUAGCGAAAGUCUGCUAUUUGAAUGCCAUAGCAUAGAAACUAUUUUUAUUUGACUUGUCUUGCACUUGAUUGUUCUGAGCUCAAUGAAUAAGCAUCCAGAAGACCAAGUCAUGGACAUGCCUUAGCGAUUGUUUACACGCGAUAUCAUAGAUUUAGCUUUUCUAUUGACUUAUCUCAACUCUUUUGAACAAGUUUUGCGCAUGCCUUAGCGAAAAUAUGUGUUUGCAUGCCUUAGCAUAGAUAUUGCUUUUCAUUGAGCUUGUUGUGAAUGCUUUAGGACGUCUCAAACUUGUGCUUGAGCAGUUCAGCGAAUAGUCUCGCGCUUACUUUAGGACAUUUCAAGCUCAUGCAUUGAGUAGGUCGGUAAAUAUUCUUGUGCUUGUGUUAAGACAUCGUAAGCUCAUGCUUAAGUAGGUUGGCAAAUAGUCUCGCUCUUUGCAUUAAGACCCCUUGAGCUCGGUGCUCGGGCAAAAAAGACUUCAUUUUUGUUUAGAUUCAAACUCAUGAAAAUUUUGUACUUAGAGAAAAAAUUUCAAAAACAGGUUUUUGGCAUCGGUAUGGAACUUCUUAGAGCUGAGCUACGCAUAUUUUUAGAAACUUAUAAAGACUUGCAAAACGAACUUUCAAAGUAAUCAGAUCAUUUGCAUAAUUAAAAAUAAAUCUUUUUAAGAACAUCCAGAAAACAAAAAAAAAAAUAACACUUGCAAUUUUUCUAAAAAAACAAUUUGACAUAAAAUAUGUACAAUUUUUACAAACAAGCUCGGUAUAGAGAAUUUACUUUUUAAUAAUAACAUUUUCUCAAGUUGUUGGAGUUCUAAUAUCUCGGGACUUGCUUGCCCUCCAAGUCCUUAAGAUGGUAAGCACCCUUUUUGGCGAGCUUAGUUAUCUUGUAUGGACUUUCCUAAUUUGGACUGAGUUUUUCGUCCGCCAGGUCCUUGGUCUUUUCAACAACUUUUCUUAAAACAAGAUCUCCAACUAAGAAUUCUCUGUGUUGGACUUUCUGGUUGUACGUUUUUUUUAACUGCUUCUAGUAGUUUGUCAUCCGUAUUAAUGCAUUUUCUUUUCUUUCGUCGGCAAGAUCGAGGUCUCAAGCUAAGACCUUCACAAUGUGGCUAUCAUCGUAUGCUUUGGUUCGUAUUGUUGGCAAACCGAUCUCCAGCAGGAUUACAACUUGAAACCGAAAGUCAAAGAGUAAGGCAUUUUGUUCAUUGUUUUCCACAGUGUGAUCUGAAAGGCUCACAAAAUAUUUGGUAGUUCCUCGACCCAUUUGCCUUUGGUUUUUUCAAUCCUCUUCUUGAUUCCAUUCAUGAUUGUCUUGUUGGUUGCCUUGGCUUGCCCGUUGCACUGUGGGUAGCUCGGCGUUAAGUUAUAAAAUUCAAUCUUUAACCUUAUCCAACAAAUCUUUGACUUUUUUCUGCAUAUAGGUCCACCAAUACCCCUGAGUUAGGGCUCGGUGGGCCAAUGAUUUUUUCCUAGAGUGUAGUCCGCAUAUGCCUUCGUGAAUUUCAAACAGUACGUUUUUAACCAAGUUCAUUGUGAACGCACAACAAGUAAGGCCCCGAAUAAGAUUUUUUGUAUAAGUAUCUCGUGGGGGAGAUCUAGAACCUGGUCUUAUUUGGAAUUUGUGCGCGUCCCUUUUAUCUUCUGGCAGCCUGUCAUGGCAUAAAAAUUUUGCAAUUGAGUCCAUCUAGCUCAGUCUCAAUUCAGUGUUGCUUACGAUAGAUUUAUCAUGGAUCUCAUGGCUAUGAGCCGAAAUUAGAUCAACUGCAAUGGUCCGUCUAGUUUCUCCUUCAAAAAUCGAUGCCAAGCUUGCCAGUGCAUCUACAUGUGAAUUGAAAUCCCUCCCUACUUACUCAAUUUGUAUUGCUCUAAAUUUGGUGAGGAGGGUCUUAGCGAUUGCCAAGUACUUAGCCUUCUUGGCUUCUUGAGUUUCGAAUUUUCCCAUGACUUGGUUGACCACCAGCUUUGAAUCGCUAAAAAUAUAGAGCUCGAGAACCUUUAAUUUGUUGGCAUACCUAAGUCCCGUAAUGAAAGCUUCGUACUCAUCCUCGUUGUGUGUUGCAAAGAAAUUCAGCCUAAGGCAAU